rnacentral:pre_miRNA from 1 species
AUUGAUCACCGGUUACUGAGGUUGUUCCUUCUUUGGCUUCGUUUUCUGGCGAUCAAAAG